rnacentral:rRNA from 1 species
GAUGAACGCUGGCGGCGUGCCUAAUACAUGCAAGUCGAGCGAACGGACGAGAAGCUUGCUUUUCUGAUGUUAGCGGCGGACGGGUGAGUAACACGUGGAUAACCUACCUAUAAGACUGGGAUAACUUCGGGAAACCGGAGCUAAUACCGGAUAAUAUUUUGAACCGCAUGGUUCAAAAGUGAAAGACGGUCUUGCUGUCACUUAUAGAUGGAUCCGCGCUGCAUUAGCUAGUUGGUAAGGUAACGGCUUACCAAGGCAACGAUGCAAAGCCGACCUGAGAGGGUGAUCGGCCACACUGGAACUGAGACACGGUCCAGACUCCUACGGGAGGCAGCAGUAGGGAAUCUUCCGCAAUGGGCGAAAGCCUGACGGAGCAACGCCGCGUGAGUGAUGAAGGUCUUCGGAUCGUAAAACCCUGUUAUUAGGGAAGAACAUAUGUGUAAGUAACUGUGCACAUCUUGACGGUACCUAAUCAGAAAGCCACGGCUAACUACGUG